UACGUAGGGUGCGAGCGUUGUCCGGAAUUAUUGGGCGUAAAGAGCUCGUAGGCGGUUUGUCGCGUCUAUCGUGAAAACCUGGGGCUUAACUCCGGGCUUGCGGUGGAUACGGGCAGACUUGAGUUCGGUAGGGGAGACUGGAAUUUACGGUGUAGCGGUGAAAUGCGUAGAUAUCGUAAGGAAGACCAGUGGCGAAGGCGGGUCUCUGGACAGUUACUGACGCUGAGGCACGAAGGCCAGGGGAGCAAACGGG
rnacentral:rRNA from 1 species